UGGCUGGUGCUAAAUUGAUUACUUGACUGGUGGUGAAUGUCUGACACUGCUUGUAUUCGAACGCUAUGAAUGAAGCGCAAGUUUCUUAUUGGCCGACAAUGCAGCAGCUAGUUUACUACUGGGUAGAGUUCAACCUUAAGACGCCUUCGGGUGAUCUGAACCAAGGUCUCAAAUCAGGUAGGAAGACCCGCUGAACUUAA
rnacentral:misc_RNA from 1 species